AUGGCUCAGGAUGAACGCUAGCGACAGGCUUAACACAUGCAAGUCGAGGGGCAGCACGGGAGUAGCAAUACUUGGUGGCGACCGGCGCACGGGUGAGUAACGCGUAUGCAACCUACCUAUCAGAGGGGAAUAACCCGGCGAAAGUCGGACUAAUACCGCAUAAAACAGGGGCACCGCAUGGUGAUAUUUGUUAAAGAAAUUCGCUGAUAGAUGGGCAUGCGUUCCAUUAGGUAGUUGGUGAGGUAACGGCUCACCAAGCCGACGAUGGAUAGGGGAACUGAGAGGUUGGUCCCCCACACUGGUACUGAGACACGGACCAGACUCCUACGGGAGGCAGCAGUGAGGAAUAUUGGUCAAUGGGCGGGAGCCUGAACCAGCCAAGUCGCCGUGAAGGAAGAAGGAUCUAUGGUUCGUAAACUUCUUUUGCAGGGGAAUAAAGUGCAGGACGUGUCCUGUUUUGUAUGUACCCUGAGAAUAAGGAUCGGCUAACUCCGUGCCAGCCGCGGC
rnacentral:rRNA from 1 species